rnacentral:lncRNA from 1 species
CCAAAAACCCGACUCUCUCUCUCUUUUUCUCUUGUUCGUAAUGAUGACUUUUCUUCUUGGCCGAUGAUUUUCUCUCCUCCUACGUCGACUCCUGGUAAUUUAUCUUCAUCUACUUGAUCGAAAUUCCCAAUCUCCUCUUUUGAAAAUUUUAUUUUUUAUUGUUUUGUUGGGUUAAAUUUCAAUCACAUCCUGAUGCGUUUUCUAUUAAACCCAGGGAUUAAAGAUCUCAACAAUAGCGGUGACAAGUGAGAAACAAAACAGCUCAAAGCCUCCACCUUCGCCUUCUCUUCAUCGAUCCUUUUUAUCUAUUCUGCGUUUUUUUUUGCUCGG